rnacentral:rRNA from 1 species
ACGCACGCUGGCGGCGUGCUUCACCCCUGCAAGUCGAACGGAAAGGCCCUGCUUUUGUGGGGUGCUCGAGUGGCGAACGGGUGAGUAACACGUGAGUAACCUGCCCUUGACUUUGGGAUAACUUCAGGAAACUGGGGCUAAUACCGGAUAGGAGCUCCUGCUGCAUGGUGGGGGUUGGAAAGUUUCGGCGGUUGGGGAUGGACUCGCGGCUUAUCAGCUUGUUGGUGGGGUAGUGGCUUACCAAGGCUUUGACGGGUAGCCGGCCUGAGAGGGUGACCGGCCACAUUGGGACUGUGAUACGGCCCAGACUCCUACGGGAGGCAGCAGUGGGGAAUAUUGCACAAUGGGCGGAAGCCUGAUGCAGCAACGCCGCGUGCGGGAUGACGGCCUUCGGGUUGUAAACCGCUUUCGCCUGUGACGAAGCGUGAGUGACGGUAAUGGGUAAAGAAGCACCGGCUAACUACGUG